rnacentral:rRNA from 1 species
AGUGAACGCUGGCGGUAGGCCUAACACAUGCAAGUCGAACGGCAGCACAGUAAGAGCUUGCUCUUACGGGUGGCGAGUGGCGGACGGGUGAGGAAUACAUCGGAAUCUACUUUUUCGUGGGGGAUAACGUAGGGAAACUUACGCUAAUACCGCAUACGACCUACGGGUGAAAGCAUGGGAUCUUCGGACCUUGCGCGAUUGAAUGAGCCGAUGUCGGAUUAGCUAGUUGGCGGGGUAAAGGCCCACCAAGGCGACGAUCCGUAGCUGGUCUGAGAGGAUGAUCAGCCACACUGGAACUGAGACACGGUCCAGACUCCUACGGGAGGCAGCAGUGGGGAAUAUUGGACAAUGGGCGCAAGCCUGAUCCAGCCAUACCGCGUGGGUGAAGAAGGCCUUCGGGUUGUAAAGCCCUUUUGUUGGGAAAGAAAAGCAGCAGGUUAAUACCCCGCUGUUCUGACGGUACCCAAAGAAUAAGCACCGGCUAACUUCGCG